GACGAACGCUGGCGGCGUGCUUAACACAUGCAAGUCGAACGGAAAGGCCCUGCUUUUGUGGGGUGCUCGAGUGGCGAACGGGUGAGUAACACGUGUGUAACCUGCCCUUGACUUUGGGAUAACUUCAGGAAACUGGGGCUAAUACCGGAUAGGAGCUCCUGCUGCAUGGUGGGGGUUGGAAAGUUUCGGCGGUUGGGGAUGGACUCGCGGCUUAUCAGCUUGUUGGUGGGGUAGUGGCUUACCAAGGCUUUGACGGGUAGCCGGCCUGAGAGGGUGACCGGCCACAUUGGGACUGAGAUACGGCCCAGACUCCUACGGGAGGCAGCAGUGGGGAAUAUUGCACAAUGGGCGGAAGCCUGAUGCAGCAACGCCGCGUGCGGGAUGACGGCCUUCGGGUUGUAAACCGCUUUCGCCUGUGAUGAAGCGUGAGUGACGGUAAUGGGUAAAGAAGCACCGGCUAACUACGUG
rnacentral:rRNA from 1 species